UACGAAGGGGGCUAGCGUUGCUCGGAAUCACUGGGCGUAAAGGGUGCGUAGGCGGGUCUUUAAGUCAGGGGUGAAAUCCUGGAGCUCAACUCCAGAACUGCCUUUGAUACUGAGGAUCUUGAGUUCGGGAGAGGUGAGUGGAACUGCGAGUGUAGAGGUGAAAUUCGUAGAUAUUCGCAAGAACACCAAUGGCGAAGGCAAUGUUCUGGCUCGUUUCUGACGCUCAGGUGCGAAAGCCAGGGGAGCGAACGGG
rnacentral:rRNA from 1 species